UUUCCCGAAAUGUCAAACCGCAACUCCCGUCUCCUCCCUCACGAUCCUUGCAACGCCAAAUCCUGCAAACGCCGGCACACGGAAUGGCGAGUCCCUCGCCGACGGCGGCGGCGCUGAAGGCGGUAACCCUAACCCACGUCCGGUACCGUAGGGGCGACUCGCUGGGUCACUUCCUGGCCUGGGUCUCCUUGAUCCCGGUGUUCAUAAGCUUGGGGGGAUUCGUGACCCACUUCCUCUUCCGGCGGGAGCUCCAGGGCUUGUGCUUCGCUCUGGGCCUCCUCGUGUCGCAGGUCCUCAGCGAGCUCAUCAAGACCUCCGUCCGCCAGUCCCGCCCGGCCACCUGCGCCGCCCUCGAGAUGUGCGACUCCCACGGCUGGCCCUCCUCCCACUCCCAGUACAUGUUCUUCUUCGCCACCUACCUCACCCUGCUCUGCUACAAAGGCGUCGUCGGCGUCUCCUCCCCCCGCUCCCGGCUCUUCUUCGCCGUCCUCCCCUGGCCUCCGGCGGUGCUCACCCUGUACUCCAGGGUUUACCUGGGCUACCACACCGUCGCCCAGGUUUUUGCGGGGGCGACGCUGGGGCUGGUGCUUGGGGUGGGGUGGUUCUGGAUCGUGAACGGUAUGCUUGUGGAGUAUUUCCCGGCGAUCGAGGAGAGUGCGAUAGGGAGGUUGUUGUACAUCAAGGACACGUCGCAUAUACGGGAUGUGCUCCAGUUUGAGUAUGAUAAUUCGAGGGCUGCUCGGAAGAAGCUGGCUCAAGAUUGAAGUUUAUAUGCAUUCUGCAGGUGGAAUCUUAUCCUAUAAAAAUCCAAUGCUUCUAUUUGUUUGGAGACCAUGCUUGGGGCCUGCCCUUAAAUGUGUUACUCUAUCUGAUGAAAUACCUAUUCGUGAUAAGGAGCAUGGUCUAAUCUAGCUAAUGCAGCAGUCUUGGCACGGAGCUAGUGCUGUAGACAAAGCCAAGUAUUUACAGGCACGCAGAAGAGAGCUGGGAAUUUGUGUCUAUGUAUCAGGAUCUUGUGACUGGUAGUUCAAACAGCUUUGAUUUGUUAUUAUUUAUGACUGUAUGCUCAUAUGGUCAAACACACCGUUACAAUUAUUAAACUUUGUAGUCCACAUUUAAGGACUGUCCUUUGGUUCACAUAUUACAUUAUGUUUCAUUAUAUUCAUUGAUCUUUACUGGAA